UUGCAGACAAUUACCUAACAACCGUUAGGUGUUAUGAUUGUUGAAAUUGUGUGUCUUGUGCACUAGGCGCAGGCUCGGAUAAUCACAUCGUGUAUUUAAUGCCCUCAUUAAAUAAUUUAUCAUUACAAUUAUCAUAACAAUACAGUAGGCCUACUAGCAUCCAGGCAAUACACCCUUUUCAUAAAUGGCUGCCGAUUAAAAAUUCUUUUAUGUGCAUAUAAAUUGGCCCA